rnacentral:lncRNA from 1 species
UAUCAUCAUUGUAUCACUUCCGGCGGCAGCUGCAGUUUGUAAGACAUGCACUGAAAAUCAGAUACACUCAAUUGUGUGGCAACAUAGGCACAAAAUUAAUCAUUUUCUUGGCGACACCGAGGUUGGCAUGCUCAUCUGAACAUGUACCGGCAAGACAAACCUCCACACCGUCCACCGCCGCCGUUCGGACCUCCACCACCUCACGGCUUUCCAUUCAGGUUCAGAGGGCCCAGUUCGGGUCCUCCUUCUGGACAUUUACCACCCAGAGCUUGCGGAGCAUUUUCCGCCUCGGCACUGGACAGCCACUAUGCUGACAACAGGACACCGAGAGGGCAUUUUAUCAGUCCCCCCUGUAGCAGCUUCUCCAUUGACCGUAGUACAGUGAGUGCAUUGGGAGGCAGCCAGCAGAUUGUCCCACCUGCAGAACCACCAGACCGUCAGGUCCCACGAUGGAAUACCACAACUGUAGAUCACCGGCCACCAGAUAACAGUGAACGAGCUGGAGAGGAAUUCCUGCGAUGCAUAGCAGCCAACAAACCUCUCCCAGAUUAUCUCAAAGGGAACAUGGCAUACAACCUGGCUGAGGCAUUUAAAUCAGCAAAUGUCCUAAAAGAAGCAGUAAGGUCAGAUCUUGAAGGCCAGAAGCAUUUGGCUAAGAGCAGGAGUCGCAGUCGCAGCAGAAGUUGCGACAGAAACCGUGGCCGAAGCCGUGGCAGAUCUCGGGCUAAGAGCCGUGCAAGGGGCAAAAGUCGAGUUCGCAGCCGAAGCAGAGGAAGGAGCAAAAGUCGUGCCAAGAGUCGAGCUAGAAGCAAAAGCAGGGUGCACAGUAGGAGUAGGAGUUGGAGUCAAAGCCGAAGCAAGAAAAGCCAUGUGCGGAGCAAGAGUCGAGUCAGAAGGUCACGAAGCAGCAGCAGUGAAAAGAGCCACGGCAAAGACAAAAAGAGAAAGAGGAGUCCUGACCACAACAGCAGCAGUAACAGUCUGGCAGGAAAUAGUCUCCUAGAAGGACUGAAGCUGGUGAUGAACAGCAAAGAACUAGAAGAGCGGUUGCCCACUCUCAAAGAUGCCAUUCUCACUGUAAAGGCUUCAGAUGAAAGUAAAAAAGUGGACAGACAUGAGAGUUCACAGUCACCAGAAAAUGACAGCAUGUUGCUGCCUCAUGAAAGAGUAGGCAGCGACUUCUCUUGGCUCCAAGGUAAUGGUCAACAUGACUCCCCAGUCCAGAAAGCUGAUGAGCUUGAAGAUGAAGAGUCAUUCUUGUACGGGAAUGAGUCUUCUCAGAUCGGAGGACAAACCAAACUACCUGAUAUGGAUCGUUCCACUGCAGGCACUCAGCGGUAUCAGCAGAACAAGUCUAUGUUCAGGAGUUUAGGGGAUCUGUUUGAUCCCCCUCAGAAGGGUUCCUCAAACCCUGUUCUGGACAGAAUCGACUUUGAGAAAGUAAAGAGCCUAUCAAAAAAUCUGGGCACGUUGACAGACAUCAGUGAGAUCAUGGCAAAGGUGAAGGAGCUGCCGUCUGCUCCUAUCACUUCACAUACAGCAGCGGUCAACUUGGCGUUGCCAGCACUAAGUAACCCCAGUGUACGGCAAGCUCUGGAGUCUCUGCAGUCUCUGAUCAAAGCUACAAAGGAGAAACGGACACAAAGUGAUGACACCCCUCAGACAUCAUCUGAUAAACAGAAGGCAGGUAGCAUUGAAGACAGGAGAAAAGAGAGACUAGCUAAAGUCAGUCAAAUGGAGUCCUUGGGGAAAGAACUGGAAGAAUUGUUAAAUCAGGAUGGAAUUAAUUUUCUAAUUCCAGUGAUUGGCUUUUACUGUCAGAAAUGUGAGGAGUUCAUUGGCGAUAUAAGUUCUGCUGAAAAACAUGGAGCCAGCCACCAGCAUAGUAACUCCAGCACACAUAAAGUGUCAGAGGACAGACAUGCUAAAGACAACAAAGGAAACUCAAAUCAUCACAGUAUCACCAGUAAGCAACACCCACACCCCACAGACAGGAGAGAUCACAAGGAUUAUGGUUACCACAGAGAUUCAGGAGAGCACAGGGACAGCAGAACCUACCAGAGAAACUGGAGGGACGACAGAGACAACAGAAGCAAACAACUCGACAGCGAGCAGAAGGGCCAAAGGUUGCUGUAUCAGGAAAACCUCUCCCUAAAAGAUGAAAUGACAAGAGAGAGAAUGCUUAUCACAGUGUCCCGUGGAGGGACACCUCCUCCUCUUUCACCUUCUCUAAACGUCAAGAUCAAGGAGGAGGUGAAGAAGGAGCAGGCAGCUGGGAACCACAGCAAAAUCAAAGUGGGAGAUGUAGACGGAAAGGACAGGUCAUCCAAGGGCAGCAGAGAACAAGCUACGAGCAGUGACAGCAGUGAUGAUUACAAAGGGAAUUCAGCCAAAUCAAAACAUGCGAAAAAGAAAAAGAAGAAGGAGAAGAAGAAGAAGAAAGGGAAGGAGAAAGAGCACAAGUCUUAAAAGUAUACACCAGUUCCAUCUCUGCCGUCCCAGUAAACAGGUUGUUACAUUCUUUUCUAGUUGCCAUCAUCGUUGUGUUAACAGUUUCUUCAUCAUUUCCUUCUCCUGAGCCGUGUGCACCAAGGCUAAGCUAACUUGGGAACUUAUAGUGUUAUUAGACACACAGGUUUGUUUCCCAAAAUGUCAGUGUGUGCGUUUUUUGUCAAGUACGUACACACAUUUCUACAUGACUGUGUAUAUGCUGAUGUGUGCCCUUGCAUCCUGAUUCAGUAUUUUAAUAAAAUGAUUUGAAAAAAUAAGCA